AGCGAACGCCGGCGGCAGGCCUAACACAUGCAAGUCGAACGAACUCUUCGGAGUUAGUGGCGGACGGGUGAGUAACACGUGGGAACGUGCCUUUUGGUUCGGAAUAACUCAGGGAAACUUGUGCUAAUACCGAAUGUGCCCUUCGGGGGAAAGAUUUAUCGCCAUUAGAGCGGCCCGCGUCUGAUUAGCUAGUUGGUGAGGUAACGGCUCACCAAGGCGACGAUCAGUAGCUGGUCUGAGAGGAUGACCAGCCACACUGGGACUGAGACACGGCCCAGACUCCUACGGGAGGCAGCAGUGGGGAAUCUUGCGCAAUGGGCGAAAGCCUGACGCAGCCAUGCCGCGUGAAUGAUGAAGGUCUUAGGAUUGUAAAAUUCUUUCACCGGGGACGAUAAUGACGGUACCCGGAGAAGAAGCCCCGGCUAACUUCGUG
rnacentral:rRNA from 1 species